rnacentral:rRNA from 1 species
AAGCUCGUAGUUGAAUUUCGAGAUCAAAUUGUUGGUCGUGCCUUGGUACGUACUGGCAUUAUUGGUUUCUCCCUUCUGAAGAACCAUGAUGUCAUUAAUUUGGUGUCAUGGGGAAUCAGGACUGUUACUUUGAAAAAAUUAGAGUGUUUAAAGCAGGCUAAAGCUUGAAUAGAUUAGCAUGGAAUAACGAAAUAGGACGUUUGAUCUUAUUUUGUUGGUUUCUAAGAUCGACGUAAUGAUUAAUAGGGAUAGUUGGG